UGCGUUCUCGGAGCUUGAGAUGUCGUCAAU
rnacentral:piRNA from 1 species